UCUGGUAUAACUUAUUUAGCAUGAUGUAAGACAAGUAUUGCUGACUCAUCCUCAAGCAUAUCUAAUAACGCCUUGUAUCACUUCCUCAGGAUGAUCUUGCUAAACUGUUUUUUCCCUUUUUUUUUUUUGUGGGUGUUAUUUAUAGAUGUAAGCAAAGUUAGCUGAAUAAAAAUGCAUUGCAAGAAUUGUGGCCAAUUUUGCUAAGCAAAUAGCGGAUGCAUGGGAAAUGCACAGACCCAGGAAUCAGCACCUAUCCUAAACGCACAGAUGCAACUUCCAUGGUUUGGAGCUCUGUGGAUGUGGAGGAACCGGUUGUACUCCAAAUGCCCCACAGUGUAGAGGGGUUCAGGGGAGUUUGCUCCUGAUGCCAUCCACUCAGCCCAGUAAUACCUUGAGAUUACGCUACUGAAAUUUGCAGUGGAUUUCUGAAAAGCAGCUCUGCU